ensembl:lncRNA
UAGAUGGCGAGGUCCUAGAAGGCAGGGAUUGGGUUUUGGUCAGUGUUUUACUUCCUGCUUGGGUCAUGGUUGACACGCAGGGUAUAUUAGUGAAUGAGUAGAGGCUAUAAGUUUCCUGCACAGGGAACACAUGCCCUCUUACAACCACUCCUAUAGGAUGAAUGUAAACGAGCAGACGAUUAUGAAGUAAGGGACAGACUGUUGGCAUGCUUAACACACUCCUAGCCAACUGAAAGUCCAAUGAGCCAGAUCUCAUAAAUGGAUAGGAGGGUUUGUGGACGCCCUUCGUGGAGCUGAGAUAAAGAAGUGCAAGGGAGGAAACUGGAGCCUAGGAUCAGGAAGCAGUCUUGAGGACCAGUGUGGGUACUUCUUUGGCUCAUAUCCAUUUUUGGCUCUCUUUUUCUAUGGCCUACUCCUCCCCGGGGACGCUUCUUUCCCAUCUGGUAGUAGAAAACUGUAUUCACCACACCAGCAGAUUACCGAGGUCUGUAACUCCUGCAAAGGAAUGAAGUUGAUUUCAGCAUCUCCAUCUUUAUGCUGACUUCUGGGGUCCUACCCUUCUCCAGGCCUGCCCAGAAGCUAGCACUGAAGUCAACCCUUCAGAGACAGGUGUCCAGUGACCUGAAAUGGAACGUCUCUUAAGGAGGGCACAAGUAGAGAAGAUUGAAAGGAAAAUGGCUCAAGGAUUGGGAGCACUUACGUCCUCAAAGGUGUGGAUUCUCCCAGAAUCCUCUUGUUCAGUGGUGCAAUUACCUUCAAAAUAGGGGAAAUGGGGGAAGGGUACAACCAGAGAGAGGAGAGAACACAACUAACUGCUGUUUUUGUCCCUAGAUAUGAAGUAGUACUGGACUUCUCAGGAGCCUCAAGUGCUCCGUUUUCUGCAGAUACAAGUCAAGGAGAGCUCUUACCCUCUUUCUGAUGGCCCUUGCUUGCAACCAGAGCCCUCCCCUCAUUCUUUGUUCUGCCUUGGCAGUUUGCUCCCACACCACUGGCUGCAGCCUGAGGAGGCUUGGAACUGAGUGCCUUCGUGAGGAUAGCCCUGCCUGUGUCCCUAGGCAGCACAUCUUGGCUUGGUGGACUGACUCCCAUCCUGGCAAGGCCCUCUCCACACCCAUCCUUCACUGGUGGCCCAGGUAGAUGCUUCUUCCAGCAACUGUCCACGUUCAGUGACUUCAUUAUCCCAAAUGCUUCGAUGCAGGGCUGAACGCUACCUCCUCAGAAGGUCCUGCCACCCUGAGACUCUUCUUUUCAUCACUUGGAUAUAGGAUGUUGGAGCCGGGCACCAGUGGCUCACACCUGUAAUCCUAGCUACUCAGGAGGCAGAAAUCAGGAGGAUUGUGGUAAAUAGUUCUGCGAGACCCUAUCUCGAAAAACCCUUCACAAACAUAGGGCUGGUAGAGUGGCUCAAGGUGAAGGCCGUGAGUUCAAGCACCAGGACCACAAAAAAAAAAAGAAAGAAAAGAAAAAGAAAGAAAGGACAUUGAGUGCCAUGGGGACAGAUUAAGCAACUUGGGUCAACAGAUGGAUUUAUUCUGGGGUCAAAGGAAUGCCUGGGCUGGUAAGCAGAGGUCCCAAUCCAGACACUGCUAAGUAUCCUGUGUGUGACUGGGGCUGGCCUAGAGUGAGGUCCAGAGUGAGGCCCGCAGCACCAACUACUGGUGGUCCCCGUUCACUCACACGCCCCAGCCUCAUCCUCCACCUCAGCCCUAUGUAGUCAUCUUUCCUCUCUCCCUCUUCUCUUCCCUCUAAGCAGAGCCAGCAAUAGCUCCCGAGCACAGGCACACGUGCCCUUGCCUAGUCUCUGCACCUGAGCCUCUAAGAAAGGCCAUGUUGGCUUGCGUGCUGCAGGACUUGUGCUCUUAGGUAGAUACUCUUAAUUUCACUCCUCUCACGAAGAAGAAAGGACUCAAAUAAGAGAGGAGAGUAAGGCAAGAAGACCAGGAACUACAUGGUUGAAGGGAACCAAAGGCACCAAGAGCCUGUGGUAGCUGUGGGCCUCAUGGUCCCCGGGAAUAGGUUGUAGGGCUAGGUGAGGCUGUUUCAAGUUGGACCCCUGUUGGAGGUCGAUCAACUGUGAUGGCUCCUUUGACAGGACAAUUGGCAUAAAACUAAACUCAUUCUCUUUUCUUGCAGCCCA